rnacentral:rRNA from 1 species
UGAGGAAUAUUGGUCAAUGGACGAGAGUCUGAACCAGCCAAGUAGCGUGAAGGAUGACUGCCCUAUGGGUUGUAAACUUCUUUUAUACGGGAAUAAAGUGAGGCACGUGUGCCUUUUUGCAUGUACCGUAUGAAUAAGGAUCGGCUAACUCCGUGCCAGCAGCCGCGGUAAUACGGAGGAUCCGAGCGUUAUCCGGAUUUAUUGGGUUUAAAGGGAGCGUAGGCGGACGCUUAAGUCAGUUGUGAAAGUUUGCGGCUCAACCGUAAAAUUGCAGUUGAUACUGGGUGUCUUGAGUACAGUAGAGGCAGGCGGAAUUCGUGGUGUAGCGGUGAAAUGCUUAGAUAUCACGAAGAACUCCGAUUGCGAAGGCAGCUUGCUGGACUGUAACUGACGCUGAUGCUCGAAAGUGUGGGUAUCAAACAGG